CAAUGAAGGAAGCAUGGUAAUAUGCACAUGGACUGAAUUAGGUCUCUAGGCCUGCCCCUUCUGUGAUGCCAUUCGAUUUUGAUUUGGGGGCAUGGUUUCGUAGCAAAACA